UACGGAGGGGGCUAGCGUUGUUCGGAAUUACUGGGCGUAAAGCGCACGUAGGCGGACAUUUAAGUCAGGGGUGAAAUCCCGGGGCUCAACCCCGGAACUGCCUUUGAUACUGGGUGUCUGGAGGUCGAGAGAGGCGAGUGGAAUUCCGAGUGUAGAGGUGAAAUUCGUAGAUAUUCGGAGGAACACCAGUGGCGAAGGCGGUUCGCUGGCUCGAUACUGACGCUGAGGUGCGAAAGCGUGGGGAGCAAACAGG
rnacentral:rRNA from 1 species